rnacentral:lncRNA from 1 species
AUCUGGAGAAUGAGGCUCUGACUUAUCCGGUAUCGGUCGAGAAGGUGCAGGGGGCUCUUUGAUCUCUCAGGACAGAUAAGGCCCCAGGACUGAAUAGCUUUCCCCUGCUAUUUUUUUGUCAGUAUUGGUCUACUAUUGGAGAGGAGGUGGUAGAGGUGGUGGAGAUGGUCUUUGAGUCUAGAGGCAUUCUGGAAGAGUGGAAGAAGAUACUGAUCAUCCCUAUCCUG